AUUGAACGCUGGCGGCAUGCCUUACACAUGCAAGUCGAACGGCAGCACGGACUUCGGUCUGGUGGCGAGUGGCGAACGGGUGAGUAAUGCAUCGGAACGUGCCAUUGAGUGGGGGAUAACGUAGCGAAAGUUGCGCUAAUACCGCAUAUUCUGUGAGCAGGAAAGCAGGGGACCGCAAGGCCUUGCGCUCUUUGAGCGGCCGAUGUCAGAUUAGCUAGUUGGUGAGGUAAAGGCUUACCAAGGCGACGAUCUGUAGCGGGUCUGAGAGGAUGACUCCGCCACACGUAGGAACUGAGACGUACCGGUCCAGACCUCCGUACGGGACGGCGAGCGUAGGGUAGGGGUUAAGUUUUCGGAACAAGGU
rnacentral:rRNA from 1 species